rnacentral:tRNA from 1 species
GGUCCCAUGUUGUAAUGGUUGGCACUCUGGACUUUUAAUCCAGCGACCCGAGUUCAAAUCUCGGUUUGACCU